rnacentral:lncRNA from 1 species
GUUGACAGGGAAAAUAGAGGGGUUUGACAGGGAUUGGCAGGGAUUACAUCCUCUACAAGUCAAAACCUCCUCCAAUCCACCCCAAUCCCCCUGUGAGGAGGUGUAACCGAACAAAGCCUCAAGGAUUUGGUCGCCCGACACGAGACGCCGCCGCCCGACUCGACACGCCGCCGCGACUCCUCCCAAGACCCCGUCGCCGACUCCUCCGCAAGACGCCGCGCCGCCCGACGCCUCAACGCCUCGACGCCGGCGAUCUCCUCCGUCAUACUAGACUUCUCCCCGGUGGUUAGUCAUCGCAGCCCCUCCCCUCCCCCCUCCUCUCCAUGGCUGCCACAUCUCGCACGCCCUCCGUUCGCCUCUUUCUCACUAGUGAACACGCCAAGAACGGCGGUGACAUGCUCAAUUUCAUGCUCCUCUUGAGUUUGAGUGUGAGUUUCAGUGACGGGCAUCGGGGCCGGAGCCGGAAGUGAGGCCUCCGGGAAGUCGUCGGGGUAGGGGGCGGGCGGGGGGGCUGAAGCGCGGGCCUCCAGGUAGGAGGCGGAGGGCGUCAGAUCUCGCGGGUAGACUGCGCUGGCACUGGAGCUGGCGGCGGCCAACCUCCUCUGCAAUUUCUGCAAGAUCGAAGCAUGGAAUUGGGUUAGGAUUCAAUUUGUCUGUCAGUCUGUGAUUUGGAAAUUGCUACAACUGAAGGAGCAGAGAAAAAGACGGAGGGACCUGGUCCUUGGGAUAUAGGAUUGUAGGUGCGAGAAUGCGACAGCCUAUCUUUAGCGCACCAUCUGCCAUAAUUUUAGUGGCCAGUGUUGAAUCUGCAGCUAUGAGCAUAUUAACAGAAACAGGCAAAGCCAAAUGUUUAGCUGGAAGAUGUUCCAGCUGCAGCCAAACAUGCCUGCUAAAAAUAGCUCCCACUUCUUUGAUCAAGAUGUAAUUUAGGUGCAGGACUGGAUCAGUGGGUGUUAUUUUCCAGUUCACUUGAACUAGAAAAUAUGUAUCUAUCUCGAAAGUGUAGAUGCUCUGCUCAGUGUAUCAGCAGAUGCACUGAAGCACUGAACUGUGAUGAUCAGAGUAAUACACUAGUUUUAGUUUCGAAGAUUGUUGUUUGUUUGAUGAUCGAUCAUAUGUAAGCAACCAGAUAUCGACCGUUGCAGUUCAAUUAGCAACGUUGACUCCCACCAUUGUUCAGCCAUACCAUGGAUAUCUAUCUAAACUUGGAGUACACUGACGUCCCUGGCCCUAGCCCCUCUUUUGAGGAUAAAUUGGCAGAUUGUAAACCACCUUUUUCAUUGUUGAUUGUAAUGGCAGUGUGCUGUCACCAUGGAGAAAACAUACCUAUCACUUCCACAGUGUUAGUUUUGAUCUGGAUAUGUUCCCCCUCUGGCAUAAUCCCACAAGUUAGUACUGGCCCAUGUCAUUUCACCUAGUCACAGUGAUGAUAGGUUCAGACCAGAAUAGUUGUUAGUUUCGGAGUCAAUUAGCCCGUGGAGUACAAGUCAAUGAUGUAUAGCAGAUUCAACUGGAGGUCUAUGACAUUACUAUUAUGUUACACGUGGUGAGUGCCAUGACCAAAUAUGACAUGGCACUGUCAAAAAAUGCUUACUAAUAGCUUUUGAUUUCUGUUUACUACUGUCUGAUGUCGAUAUGUUCUUAUUUUGACAGCCAACAGCCUGGGUUCUUGUUGGGAUGGCGGGUUGCCUCCAUCUUGGGAUCCAAUCGUCAGUUUUAUGUUGUAGGCUGACUCAACUUGUACGUCUCCCAUCUAGGUUGGGCGGUGAUCCUUUCUGAACGGGGCCUUUUCAUUGUUUCAUUAGCCUGCCAAUUCUACAUAAAUAUCCUUUGUCCUGACAAAAGGUUGUUCCUGAAAAAAGAUUUACAAUUCCUGCCAUAGUAUCCAUUUUGUUCAGCUAUUUGCUGUAAUCUUUUUUUCUAAAGGCACUCUAAUGUUCAUAUCUUUUGUUUCAUCGGGUUCUCAUGCACCAAAAGAAGCAACAAAAGAUGGAUACAUUUCUCUCAAGCACUCUGGAUGAAUGAAUUUCUCUCAGGUUGUCGAUGCUAGAUGACCAUGACACCAAAAGAACAUUUGUAUGCAUUAUCUUCGUUGCAAAAUGAUAUUGUGGCUGUGAUGAACUGUUUGCUACGAAAGAUUAUGUUGUUAUGAUAAAUUAUGAAUGCUGGGAUUUGGGUUUCAAAGACAUUUUGUUAUGAUAAAUUAUGUAGUUGUUGUGAUGAGAUAUUGAUUUCAUCUUGUGAAAGCAGCAACACGGCCUAUGAGCUUGGUGAUAAACAUGAUGCUUCAAAUUAUGUUGUUAUGAUAAAGAGGUGGUGCUGCUGCUUGAAGUCAUUUUUAUCAAUUCUGCAGCAAGGAUAUAAAGGGAGUUAGUUACAUCAUAAAGAUUGGAUUUUUAAAUGUUCUACACCAUGUUAUGUCAACAUGACAAACCCUUCCUACCAAAUAGAGAUUUUAAACAAAGAGGAUUGUGAAAG